GUGCCCACUUGGAUGGCACAUAUACUGAAACUGGAAGGAUACAAAGAGGAAUAGCACAGCCCCUGCGUGCAAGGAUGACACCCAAAUUCAUGAAGCAUUCCAUAUUAAA
ensembl:snRNA U6 U6 spliceosomal RNA